rnacentral:rRNA from 1 species
AUUGAACGCUGGCGGCAUGCUUUACACAUGCAAGUCGAACGGCAGCGCGGGCUUCGGCCUGGCGGCGAGUGGCGAACGGGUGAGUAAUGCAUCGGAACGUGCCCAGUAGUGGGGGAUAGCCCGGCGAAAGCCGGAUUAAUACCGCAUACGACCUGAGGGUGAAAGCGGGGGACCGAAAGGCCUCGCGCUAUUGGAGCGGCCGAUGUCGGAUUAGCUAGUUGGUGGGGUAAAGGCUUACCAAGGCGACGAUCCGUAGCUGGGCUGAGAGGAAGACCAGCCACACUGGGACUGGAACACGGCCCAAACUCCUACGGGGGGCAGCAGUGGGGAAUUUUGGACAAUGGGGGCAACCCUGAUCCAGCCAUGCCGCGUGCGGGAAGAAGGCCUUCGGGUUGUAAACCGCUUUUGUUCGGGAAGAAAGCCUCUGGGCUAAUACCCCGGGGGGAUGACGGUACCGGAAGAAUAAGCACCGGCUAACUACGUG